UACAGGGGGUGCAAACGUUGCUCGGAAUCAUUGGGCGUAAAGCGCACGUAGGCGGUUCGUUAUGUCGGAUGUGAAAGCCCUUGGCUUAACCGAGGAAGUGCAUCCGAAACUGGCGAGCUAGAGUACUAAAGAGGAUCGCGGAAUUCCCGGUGUAGAGGUGAAAUUCGUAGAUAUCGGGAGGAACACCGGUGGCGAAGGCGGCGACCUGGGUAGAUACGUGACGCUGAGGCGCGAAAGCGUGGGGAGCAAACAGG
rnacentral:rRNA from 1 species